rnacentral:rRNA from 1 species
GUGAGGAAUAUUGGUCAAUGGACGAGAGUCUGAACCAGCCAAGUCGCGUGAAGGAAGACGGUUCUAUGAAUUGUAAACUUCUUUUGUGCAGGAAUAAAGUGGGUUACGUGUAACCUUUUGUAUGUACUGUACGAAUAAGGAUCGGCUAACUCCGUGCCAGCAGCCGCGGUAAUACGGAGGAUCCGAGCGUUAUCCGGAUUUAUUGGGUUUAAAGGGUGCGUAGGUGGAUUGAUAAGUCAGCGGUGAAAGUUUGCAGCUUAACUGUAAAAUUGUCGUUGAAACUGUCGGUCUUGAGUGCAAAUGAGGUAGGCGGAAUGUGUUGUGUAGCGGUGAAAUGCUUAGAUAUAACACAGAACUCCGAUUGCGAAGGCAGCUUACUGGGAUGCAACUGACACUGAUGCACGAAAGCGUGGGUAUCAAACAGGAUUAGAUACCCCGGUAGUCC